rnacentral:lncRNA from 1 species
CAAAGAUGGUAAAAGGUGCCAUCAGCAACUAACACAUCCUUUCAAGGAGAGUGGUGGUAUUGAUCUUUAUUUCAGAGUUUGGGAAGAGGGGGCAAGAUAUGUGCUGGCAGAAGCAGAAAAGUUAGCUUAUAAAUUUCCCUGGAUUCUUUCAAUAUUCAAUGAAAUUGAGAGGCAGAGUCAAGAUGGCGGCAUAGAGGCAGCAAAAGUUCAGACCUCUGAAAACCCUUCCUCACCAAUUAAAAACCAAAUGCUUCUAGGGAAUUGA